ACCCAAUGAUGUGGGAAUUUACAGAGUAGGUCCUUAAAGUUCUCCCAAGUCUCAAAGAAAAGUUCCUCAUCCAUUUGUGUGAAACUUGUGAUUGCCCUUUGUAGCU